rnacentral:rRNA from 1 species
GAUGAACGCUGGCGGCGUGCCUAAUACAUGCAAGUCGAGCGAACAGACGAGGAGCUUGCUCCUCUGACGUUAGCGGCGGACGGGUGAGUAACACGUGGAUAACCUACCUAUAAGACUGGGAUAACUUCGGGAAACCGGAGCUAAUACCGGAUAAUAUAUUGAACCGCAUGGUUCAAUAGUGAAAGACGGUUUUGCUGUCACUUAUAGAUGGAUCCGCGCCGCAUUAGCUAGUUGGUAAGGUAACGGCUUACCAAGGCAACGAUGCGUAGCCGACCUGAGAGGGUGAUCGGCCACACUGGAGCUGAGACACGGUCCAGACUCCUACGGGAGGCAGCAGUAGGGAAUCUUCCGCAAUGGGCGAAAGCCUGACGGAGCAACGCCGCGUGUGUGAUGAAGGUCUUCGGAUCGUAAAACUCUGUUAUUAGGGAAGAACAAAUGUGUAAGUAACUAUGCACGUCUUGACGGUACCUAAUCAGAAAGCCACGGCUAACUACGUG